rnacentral:rRNA from 1 species
AUUAUUAGUUAAGGUCUUUAAACCCAAAGAAUUUGGCGGUAUUUCAUUCCAUUCAGAGGAACCUAUCUCAUGAUUGAUAGUACACGAUUUACUUUACUUAAUUUAUUUGUUUGUAUAUCUCCGUUAUCAGAAAAUCUUUUUGGAGAAAAAAUUUUCUUGUUUUUUUAUUAAAAUUUAUUUCAGGUCAAGGUGCAGCUUAUAAUUAAGUGUAUGAUGGGUUACAAUAAUUUUUUUUUAUUAUGGAUUUAAUUUUGUAAUAUUUUAAUGAAGGUGGAUUUGAUAGUAAUUUAAAUUAUUUAAUUUAACUGAUA